rnacentral:rRNA from 1 species
UACGUAGGUGGCAAGCGUUGUCCGGAAUUAUUGGGCGUAAAGGGCUCGCAGGCGGUUCCUUAAGUCUGAUGUGAAAGCCCCCGGCUCAACCGGGGAGGGUCAUUGGAAACUGGGGAACUUGAGUGCAGAAGAGGAGAGUGGAAUUCCAUGUGUAGCGGUGAAAUGCGCAGAGAUAUGGAGGAACACCAGUGGCGAAGGCGACUUUCUGGUCUGUAACUGACGCUGAUGUGCGAAAGCGUGGGGAUCAAACAGG